rnacentral:rRNA from 1 species
GAUGAACGCUGGCGGCGUGCCUAAUACAUGCAAGUCGAGCGAACGGACGAGAAGCUUGCUUCUCUGAUGUUAGCGGCGGACGGGUGAGUAACACGCGGAUAACCUACCUAUAAGACUGGGAUAACUUCGGGAAACCGUAGCUAAUACCGGAUAAUAUUUUGAACCGCAUGGUUCAAAAGUGAAAGACGGUCUUGCUGUCACUUAUAGAUGGAUCCGCGCUGCAUUAGCUAGUUGGUAAGGUAACGGCUUACCAAGGCAACGAUGCAUAGCCGACCUGAGAGGGUGAUCGGCCACACUGGAACUGAGACACGGUCCAGACUCCUACGGGAGGCAGCAGUAGGGAAUCUUCCGCAAUGGGCGAAAGCCGGACGGAGCAACGCCGCGUGAGUGAUGAAGGUCUUCGGAUCGUAAAACUCUGUUAUUAGGGAAGAACAUAUGUGUAAGUAACUGUGCACAUCUGGACGGUACCUAAUCAGAAAGCCACGGCUAACUACGUG